rnacentral:tRNA from 1 species
CCCGACUUAACUCAGAUGGUAGAGUGCGCGGCUGUAGAAAGAAAUUAACGCCUGCGGGCGUACUGCGCGGCUACCGCGAUGUCCCCGGUUCGAAUCCGGGAGUCGGGA